UCCAGUCAUACGCUGUGGUCUCGCUCAUAAUCAAUGUAGACCUUGGCUCAGACAUGCAUUAGGAACUGCAAAUCCCAUUAAUAUCCUAAGACUUGUUCAGAGUUGUUGUUCAUGGCUUCUCUCUUUCAUUUCCUCCCUCUCUUAUUGGCUGGUGUUUAAGUACCAUGAGCUGGCAGAGAAACUACAGACUGCUCCGAGAGAGACAGACUCAGCUACGAGCUAAAACAGUCUCGCAUUAGGAAGCAGGAGACCCAGCCUUGUGUCUUAUAGGAUACCCAUGUGGUCUGCUGUACCCAGAGCACGAGCUGCAGCUCCGCCCGGGAGUCGGCCUUCCAGUGCCUGGGACAUGAGCCCUUCAGUUGCAUCGUUGGACGUGGUCAGAAUUUGUAGCUCCUUUAGCUUGGCUGCAUUUCAAUAGUGUAAAGCAGCAAUUAGUGUUCUAUAUACCAUUGUCGUCAUGGAGAUACACGGUGUGCAAGCUUUUGUUCCUGUCCAGUGCUGUAACACGACUGACUCAGUGAAUUGAUGGCUUGAUGGUUAGUUGAAUAAGGUGUAUGGUACUUGAUUGGAAUAAAAGCUUGCAAGCCCUGUGGAAUGACAUUUUUUUUUAUAUAACCUUUAUUUAAGUCAGUUAACAAAAAAAGAUUGUUUUCAAUGACAGCCUACCCUGGCCAAACCUGAACGACACUGGGCCAAUUGUGGCCUGCUGGAGGUCAUUUUGCAGGGCGCUGGCAGUGCACCUCCUUGCACAAAGGCGGAGGUAGCGGUCCUGUUGCUGGGUUGUUGCCCUCCUACGGCCUCCUCCAUGUCUCCUGAUGUACUGGCCUGUCUCCUGGUAGCGCCUGCAUGCUCUGGACACUACGCUGACAGACACAGCAAACCUUUUUGCCACAGUUCAGAUUGAUGUGCCAUCCUGGAUGAACUGCACUACCAGAGCCACUUAUGUGGGUUGUAGACUCCGUCUCAUGCUACCACUAGAGUGAGAGCACCGCCAGCAUUCAAAAGUGACCAAAACAUCAGCCAGGAAGCAUAGGAACUGAGAAGUGGUCUGUGGUCACCACCUGCAGAAUCACUCCUGUUUUGGGGGGUGUCGUGCUAAUUGUCUAUAAUUUCCACCUUUUGUCUAUUCCAUUUGCACAACAGUAUGUGAAAUUUAUUGUCAAUCAGUGUUGCUUCCUAAGUGGACAGUUUGAUUUCACAGAAGUGUGAUUGACUUGGAGUUACAUUGUGUUGUUUAAGUGUUCCCUUUAUUUUUUUGAGCAGUGUAUAAUACAAAUCCACAUUAUAUCAAAUCAAAUACAGACAUGUAGCGAACACAUUUUUGGAACAUUUGGAUUUGUAUAUGUUUUAAUGAUUGUAAAUACAGUACCAGUCAAAAGUUUGGACACAUACUCAUUCCAGGGUUAUAAUUUAUUUUUACUAUUUUCUACAUUGUAGAAUAAUAGUGAAGAAAUCAAAACUUUGAAAUAACAUAUGGAAAAUUGUAGUUACCAAAAAAGUGUUAAACAAAUCGAAAUAUUUUUGCGAUUGUUCAAAGUAGCCACCCUUUGCCUUGAUGACAGCUUUGCACACGCUUGGCAUUCUCUCAACCAGCUUCAUGAAGUAGUCACCUGGAAUGCAUUGCAAUUAACACGUGUGCCAUGUUAAAAGUUAAUUUGUGGAAUUUCUUUCCUUCUUAAGUAAAAAAAGAAAAUAAAAUAAAAGUAACAAAUAAUUAAACAUCGGCAGUAAAAUAACAAUAGCGAGGCUAUGUACAGGAGGUACCGGUACAGAGUCAAUGUGCAGGUGCACCAGUUAGUCGAGGUAAUAUGUACAGUAUACAUAUGACCACUACUAGCCAAUGUCCAUUGGUGUCCAUUGGUGUCCAUUUGAGUAAACAAAAAUUUCCCUUUGAAAUGGUGUGCUAAAUUGCAACGCCAGCUGAAUGAUUUAGUCCCGUGGACCAUGAAAAUGUCACUACCCACACAUUAAAAAAUAUAUCUAGUCCUCCUUGCGUGAAUGUGUUUCUUGAAUGAAUACAAGAUCUGUGUUGCAGUCGUUACAAACCAAAAAAAACAGGUUUCGUAUCCCCCAGGCAUUGAUUGACAAACUUAAAGUCCAUAUAUACAAAAUGGAAAGGAAACUCCUAUGCAGUCUCAACUUUUACGAGAUGUGUUUGUGCCGUCAUGUGCAGUAGUGUCGUGGAAAAUUGCGAGAUUAUGUUAUAGUGCUUGUAAGAUUAUUUUAUCAUCUUUGUAUUGCAUUAGAAUGGUUGUUUUAUUCGACAGAAUAGAAUCUGUUGACUAUUGUGUGUUCAGUGUUCCACUGAGGAUGGGCUUCUAUGAGAUAGCACUGACAGAGGAGAUUUACAAUGUCUUUGGCCAAUAAAUCCUAAAGAGCAUUCCAGAUAGUAAAGCUAAUAUUUUUGUACUAUGAAGUACCAGGAACGAGAUUAGAACCUCGUUUUAGACACUAAACUGAGCGAUAAUUUAUAGCGAAUGCAAUCUGGCUAAGGGAUACUCCUCUCUCAAGUAAAAGUCUUUCUUUGUGAACUUUCUUCGUGAACUAUUAUCUGUGGUUUGUCAUGUCGACUAGGGGGGUGGAUCUUUGCUAUAAAAGAUCUCAAUUGCCAUUAUGUUGGUACUCUCAGAAUUCAUUAUAGACACUGAAUUGAUCUGAGAGUCAAAGGGCUAUUGUAAAGCUCAUAUUAUUAAAGAUGACGUUUAAGUAUAA